GCUUUCGUGGUGUAGUGGUCAGCACGCUCGGCGCGUAUUCGAGAGGUCCGUGGUUCGAGUCCCGGCGAGGGCA
rnacentral:tRNA from 1 species